UCUUCUCCUGACUGUGGUGAUUAGAACUGAAUAAUUUUAACCCAGUUUUCACAGUCUUCGAUUCCUCAGCAGCCAGAUCCCUUCUUCAUGGAUCUGCAGAAGCACUGUCGAAACUGAAAAAAAACUUUAAUAGGAAGAACCAGAGAACUGAAUGAGGCACUACUGGAACAGCUCAAUGCUUGACAGGAAAGCAAAAUGGAUCCAUACUGUGGAGUCAAUAAGAAGCACAGAAGAGCACCUCUGGGGAAAGAUUCAGAGAAUAAGAUGAUUAGAACCAUACCUUGGGGAGUUAAAGGGAGAAAUCCCCAAAUGCCUGGAGAACAAGCUGUUCCCGUCGUGAAGUACCUUAACAUCAAAGUGUGGAUGGGAAGCUCCACAGAGCUUUAGCAGAAUCUUAGAGAGACAGAAGUAGUGCUUUCUGAUAAACAAAUCACAAAACCAAAUAUAUCUACAACAGAAGUUACUGAAGUCCAACCAGUAUAUGACAGCAGACUCUUGAGAAGAACCAGAAGGGAAACCAGCUACAUAUUUUUGGUACAAAUCUACAGGAAAUGUAAGAACUAGCAACAGCUUGAUUACAGCAGUGCUAAGAAGAAAGAUCCAUCUACAGUGCAAGAUCCUCUGAAGGAGCAGCUCACUAAAAAUGCUGCAGUAACUUACUAGCAAUGCUGGAAUAAAAUUAAAAGAACAUUGACAGCCCCAGAGACUGUUUAAAUGGUGUCAGAUGGAAAUCUCUUGUUAAAGAUAAAUACUUGCCACACUGAGUUUAAUAAGUCUAACUCACUAGAGUUAUCAAUGACAUCAAGAAACAGCUCAGUUCCUUACAUAAUAUAUUAUCAAGGCAACAACAAUAAGCUUAGGAAACUGCAG
ensembl:lncRNA